CGGGAGCUCCGCCAUGGCCGCUCCCGAAGGGAUGCCCAGCUCGGCCCUGCGGGUCCUGGAAGAGGCGUUGGGCGUGGGCUUGACCACCGCCGGGGACACCGCGGACGCGGUGGCCGCCGAGGGCGCCUACUACCUGGAGCAGGUGACCAUAACUGAAGCAUCUGAAGAUGAUUAUGAAUAUGAAGAGAUACCAGAUGACAAUUUUAGCAUUCCAGAAGGUGAAGAAGAUCUGGCAAAAGCAAUUCACAUGGUCCAAGAACAGGCUAUAGAUACUCAAAUUUUGGAGCAGAAAACAGUUCUUCCUUCAAAGCAAGCAGUUCCUGAAGUAAUAGAAGACUUUCUCUGUAAUUUCCUCAUCAAAAUGGGAAUGACCAGAACUCUUGAUUGCUUUCAGUCUGAAUGGUAUGAGUUGAUACAGAAGGGAGUAACUGAACUUAGAGAGACUGGGAAUGUUCCAGAUGUCUACACCCAGAAUAUGCUUUUAGAAAAUGAGAACAAAAAUUUGAAGAAAGACUUGAAGCACUACAAACAGGCGGCUGAUAAGGCUAGAGAAGAUCUGCUUAAAACUCAGAAAGAACGUGAUUUUCAUCGAAUGCACCACAAGCGAAUAGUCCAGGAGAAAAACAAAUUAAUUAAUGACCUCAAAGGGUAAACUGCUGAUGUUUGUUGGCAUUAUCUAUUAAAGAGUUGAUUAAUUAGUGUUAAGCGCCUUGGCCGCGGCAGAAGGUUUCAGGUUGAAGUUACAUUAUGCAUCUUAUGAACCCACAAUGAGGGUGUUACAUG